GACGAACGCUGGCGGCGUGCCUAAUACAUGCAAGUAGGACGCAGUUGCGAACGGGUGAGUAACGCGUCGGUAACUGCCUAUUAGAGGGGGAUAACUAUUGGAAACGAUAGCUAAUACCGCAUACUAGUAGAUGGACCUGCGUUGUAUUAGCUAGUAGGUAGGGUAAUGGCCUACCUAGGCAACGAUACAUAGCCGACCUGAGAGGGGGAGCGGCCACACUUGGACUGAGACACGGGCCAGAAUCCCACGGGAGGGAGCAGUAGGGAAUCUUCGGAAAUGGGGGGAACCCUGACCGAGCAAAGCCGCGGGAGUGAAGAAGGUUUUCGGAGCGGAAAGCUCUGUUGUUAAGGAAGCGGUACUUAACCAGAAAGGGACGGCUAACUACGUGCCAGCAGCCGCGGUAAUAC
rnacentral:rRNA from 1 species